rnacentral:rRNA from 1 species
UCAAGGUUUCCAGGGGAAGGUUCGUCCGCCCUGGGUUAGUCGGGACCUAAGCCGAGGCCGAAAGGCGUAGGUGAUGGACAACAGGUUGAUAUUCCUGUACCGCCAAUAAGCGUUUGAGAGAUGGAGUGACACAGUAGGAUAAGCUAACCGUACUGUUGGUUAUGUACGGCUAAGCAUUGAGGCAGUCUAAAUAGGCAAAUCCGUUUAGACAAUGCUAGGAUGUGAUGGGGAAGCCCUUCGGGGCGAAGUAGCUGAUUUCACACUGUCAAGAAAAGCUUCUAUCGAGUUUAAAGGCGCCCGUACCGUAAACCGACACAGGUGGGUGAGGAGAGUAUCCUAAGGCCAGCGAGAGAACUAUUGUUAAGGAACUCGGCAAAAUGACCCCGUAACUUAGGGAGAAGGGGUGCCUGUCUAUGACAGGCCGCAGAGAAUAGGCCCAAGCGACUGUUUACCAAAAACACAGGUUUCUGCUAAGUCGCAAGACGAUGUAUAGGAGCUGACGCCUGCCCGGUGCUGGAAGGUUAAGGGGAUCUGUUAGAGCAAUCGAAGCAGUGAACUUAAGCCCCAGUAAACGGCGGCCGUAACGAUAACGGUCCUAAGGUAGCGAAAUUCCUUGUCGGGUAAGUUCCGACCCGCACGAAAGGCGUAACGAUUUGGGCACUGUCUCAACAAUAGACUCGGUGAAAUUGUAAUCCCGGUGAAGAUGCCGGGUACCUGCGACAGGACGGAAAGACCCCAUGGAGCUUUACUGUAGCUUGACGUUGGGUCUUGGUACUACAUGUACAGGAUAGGUGGGAGACUAUGAAGCAUGGACGCCAGUCUGUGUGGAGUCAUCCUCGGGAUACCACCCUUGUAGUACUGGGAUCCUAACCAUAGGCCUUGAAUCAGGUCUUGGAACACCGCCAGGUGGGCAGUUUGACUGGGGCGGUCGCCUCCUAAAAAGUAACGGAGGCGCUCAAAGGUUUCCUCAGCACGGUCGGAAAUCGUGCGAAGAGUGUAAAGGCAAAAGGAAGCUUGAUUGCAAGACAUACAGGUCGAGCAAGGACGAAAGUCGGACUUAGUGAUCCGGUGGUACCGCAUGGAAGGGCCAUCGCUCAACGGAUAAAAGCUACCCUGGGGAUAACAGGCUUAUCUCCCCCAAGAGUCCACAUCGACGGGGAGGUUUGGCACCUCGAUGUCGGCUCAUCACAUCCUGGGGCUGUAGUAGGUCCCAAGGGUUGGGCUGUUCGCCCAUUAAAGUGGUACGCGAGCUGGGUUCAGAACGUCGUGAGGCAGUUCGGUCCCUAUCCGUCGCAGGCGUAGGAAAUUUGAGAAGACCUGUCCUUAGUACGAGAGGACCGGGAUGGACGUACCUCUGGUGUACCAGUUGUUCUGCCAAGGGCAUGGCUGGGUAGCUAUGUACGGAAUGGAUAAGCGCUGAAAGCAUCUAAGCGCGAAGCCAACUUCAAGAUAAGAUUUCCCACCGUAAGGGUAAGACCCCAGGAAGACUACCUGGUUGAUAGGUCGAAGGUGUAAGUGCAGUAAUGUAUUUAGCUUAUCGAUACUAAUAGGUCGAGGACUUGACC